GAGUUUAGCUUAUCUGCAAACAAAAAUACAAAGAAAAAAACUGGCAGCAAGAAAAAGGUUGUAAAAACAUAAUUUCCUUCUAGAGGAGGGGGAAACAGGACCAAAUCAUGCCUGAUCCGGCAGUGCUACCACAUGAUCUUAUGUUUAGUCUUUGAUUAAUUGAAAUCUCUGUCAUAGGGUUUUUCUCCUUACAUAGAUGGGUCCUGGGUUUAACCAUCGCUGCUGCAGUUUUUGCAGUUUUAAGCUGCAUUCCUGCUCUUCGGUGUAUUAUCAAAGAUGUGGACAGUAUUCCGUUCCUACUUUGCCUUCAAAUCUCAGUUCCAUGUAUCCUGAUAUCCAUCGCAUUCGCCAUAUGGGGUUAUAUUGAAGGCUCUGUCGGAGAGGCUUUUGUUGGCAGUGCUAUAAAUUUCAUGAGGAUCCCAAUUUUAGGUUGGGUGGUUCCACCUAAAUAUGAAUGGCAUGGUACACGUUGCGAAAUAUUCACAUACAUGGCUCUGCCUUUGGACAAUUUUGUCAUUACAACAGGGAUCAAUUCUGUUGUUCUCCAGACGUUUUUUAUACACUGUGCCCCAUAUUCAGAAGCAAAAACAUUAACUGGAAUUCUUUUUGGAAUUGUGUUAUUGUCAUCAUUUAUUUCAUUGGCAGUUAAUUCAGUGUCAAAGGGUCGACGUACAUGUGUAGUUUUUUUAUUUCACACCUUUACCAUUUCGGCGGAAAUAGCAUUUCUGAUUUUCACACAUGGUUUGGGUUAUUCCUCAUCCGAACUCCCUGCAUUGAUGUGUUUCAUGGCAGUCCACUUCAUCAUGCAUGCAACAUCAUUCUUUCGGCUCACGUGGUGGUUACCAGGUACAGUAUCAUUUAAUUGAUGUGGUGACCAACACCUGAGGAACACACUCAGGAACCCCAAAGGAUAAGAGGUCAACAGCGGGUCCAAUAAGUGACAAUCUAUUUACCGGAGAGCAUCUCAUGGGCCGUCCAAGAGAACUCUGAGUAAUCUUCCUGAUACAUUCGUCUUUUAUUGGCAACAAUCAGUAACCCCUCACAUUGGUCACACCCAUAGAACGUAUUCAUCAAUUUCUUCUCAUCACGUUGAUAAUUAUUCAUCAUCGAACGCAACUCUCCCCUCAUCUGGCCUUGAAGUGGCUGCACCUGUCUGUACAAUUGGUAUUAGGACAGGCGUGAAAGAACAAUAGCAAGGGAUCUGAGGCUACCAGAUGAGCAGAAGACACAGGGGAACACAUAGGAUUAUACCAGGGCGGUAGUGUAGUAUGAUGGGUAAGGAGUUGGUCUUGCAAUCCAAAGGUCGCUGGUUCAAUUCCCAGGUUGGACACUGUUGUUGCAGGGGAAAAUUAGUAAAAGAAAAAUAAUUCAAAAUGAAAUAAACAUUUAAUGAAUUGGUGUGUGUAAUAGUAAAAAAACAAUUUUCCCUCUGAAAAUCAAGAAGGGCAAGUAUUUUUGCUUUAAGUUUACACACUUACUAAAACAGAUCUCAUUGCUUUUCAGCUGUUCCUCAUAUCCUAGUAUAUGUGUUUGGUUCUGCUGUCCUAAGUGUCCUUAAUUCAGUUGCUCUAGCAACAGAAGUAAUUCUGAAAGCAG